rnacentral:rRNA from 1 species
CAUGUCUAUAAGUAUAAGCAAUUAUACCGCGAAACUGCGAAUGGCUCAUUAAAUCAGUUAUCGUUUAUUUGAUAGUACCUUACUACUUGGAUAACCGUGGUAAUUCUAGAGCUAAUACAUGCUAAAAACCCCGACUCACGAAGGGGUGUAUUUAUUAGAUUAAAAACCAAUGCCCUUCUGGGCUUUCUGGUGAUUCAUAAUAACUUCUCGAAUCGCAUGGCCUUGCGCCGGCGAUGGUUCAUUCAAAUUUCUGCCCUAUCAACUUUCGAUGGCAGGGUCUUGGCCUGCCAUGGUUACAACGGGUAACGGAGGGUUAGGGCUCGACCCCGGAGAAGGAGCCUGAGAAACGGCUACUACAUCCAAGGAAGGCAGCAGGCGCGCAAAUUACCCAAUCCCGAUUCGGGGAGGUAGUGACAAUAAAUACUGAUACAGGGCUCUUUUGGGUCUUGUAAUUGGAAUGAGUACAAUUUAAAUCCCUUAACGAGGAACAAUUGGAGGGCAAGUCUGGUGCCAGCAGCCGCGGUAAUUCCAGCUCCAAUAGCGUAUAUUAAAGUUGUUGCAGUUAAAAAGCUCGUAGUUGAACCUUGGGCCUGGCUGGCCGGUCCGCCUCACCGCGUGCACUGGUUCGGCCGGGCCUUUCCCUCUGGGGAGCCGCAUGCUCUUCACUGAGUGUGUCGGGGAACCAGGACUUUUACUGUGAAAAAAUUAGAGUGUUCAAAGCAGGCCUAUGCUCGAAUACAUUAGCAUGGAAUAAUAGAAUAGGACGUGUGGUUCUAUUUUGUUGGUUUCUAGGACCGCCGUAAUGAUUAAUAGGGACAGUCGGGGGCAUCAGUAUUCAAUUGUCAGAGGUGAAAUUCUUGGAUUUAUUGAAGACUAACUACUGCGAAAGCAUUUGCCAAGGAUGUUUUCAUUAAUCAGUGAACGAAAGUUAGGGGAUCGAAGACGAUCAGAUACCGUCGUAGUCUUAACCAUAAACUAUGCCGACUAGGGAUCGGACGAUUGUUAAUUUUUUGACUCGUUCGGCACCUUACGAGAAAUCAAAGUCUUUGGGUUCUGGGGGGGAGUAUGGUCG